rnacentral:rRNA from 1 species
GCAUCUUCGGGUGUGGAUGAGUGGCGAACGGGUGAGUAACACGUGGGUAACCUGCCCUCAGCUUUGGGAUAAGCCCUGGAAACGGGGUCUAAUACCGGAUAGGACAUCGCAUCGCAUGGUGUGGUGUGGAAAGUUCCGGCGGCUGGGGAUGGGCCCGCGGCCUAUCAGUUUGAUGGUGGGGUGAUGGCCUACCAUGGCGAUGACGGGUAGCCGGCCUGAGAGGGCGACCGGCCACACUGGGACUGAGAUACGGCCCAGACUCCUACGGGAGGCAGCAGUGGGGAAUCUUGCGCAAUGGGCGAAAGCCUGACGCAGCGACGCCGCGUGAGGGAUGACGGCCUUCGGGUUGUAAACCUCUUUCGACUCCGACGAAGGGUGACUGACGGUAGGAGUAGAAGAAGCACCGGCUAACUACGUGCCAGCAGCCGCGGUAACACGUAGGGUGCGAGCGUUGUCCGGAAUUAUUGGGCGUAAAGAGCUCGUAGGCGGUGUGUCGCGUCGGCUGUGAAAACCUACUGCUUAACGGUGGGCGUGCAGUCGAUACGGGCAUACUUGAGUUCGGCAGGGGAGACUGGAAUUCCUGGUGUAGCGGUGAAAUGCGCAGAUAUCAGGAAGAACACCGAUGGCGAAGGCGGGUCUCUGGGCCGAUACUGACGCUGAGGAGCGAAAGCGUGGGGAGCGAACAGGAUUAGAUACCCUGGUAGUCCACGCCGUAAACGUUGGGCGCUAGGUGUGGGGCCUGUCACGGGUUCCGUGCCGUAGCU